GUAGGGAAUAUUGGACAAUGGGGGGAACCCUGAUCCAGCCAUGCCGCGUGUGUGAAGAAGGCCUUUUGGUUGUAAAGCACUUUAAGCGAGGAGGAGGCUACCGAGAUUAAUACUCUUGGAUAGUGGACGUUACUCGCAGAAUAAGCACCGGCUAACUCUGUGCCAGCAGCCGCGGUAAUACAGAGGGUGCAAGCGUUAAUCGGAUUUACUGGGCGUAAAGCGCGCGUAGGUGGCCAAUUAAGUCAAAUGUGAAAUCCCCGAGCUUAACUUGGGAAUUGCAUUCGAUACUGGUUGGCUAGAGUAGGGGAGAGGAUGGUAGAAUUCCAGGUGUAGCGGUGAAAUGCGUAGAGAUCUGGAGGAAUACCGAUGGCGAAGGCAGCCAUCUGGCCUAAUACUGACACUGAGGUGCGAAAGCAUGGGGAGCAAACAGGAUUAGAUACCCCAGUAGUCC
rnacentral:rRNA from 1 species